rnacentral:sRNA from 1 species
CUGACAGCUCUGGAGAAUUCUAAUUUUCCACAAAACAGGUUCAGCAUGGGUGACUGCAAGCUACCCUACACCUUCCUGCCAAUGCAACUCCACCCUGACCAAGAGGGACCACCUCUAGGGGUGAAAAGAUAGCUCACUCACUUUCAAUGGUCAAUUCAC